rnacentral:rRNA from 1 species
GAUGAACGCUGACAGAAUGCUUAACACAUGCAAGUCGAUUCGAUUUACCUUCGGGUAUUGAGGAUGGCGGACGGGUGAGUAACGCGUAAGGAACUUGCCUCUUGGUCUGGGACAACUGUUGGAAACGACAGCUAAUACCGGAUAUUAUGAGAUUCUCGCAUGGGAAACUUAUGAAAGCUAUAUGCGCCAAGAGAGAGCCUUGCGUUCCAUUAGCUAGUUGGUGGGGUAACGGCCCACCAAGGCGACGAUGGAUAGCCGGCCUGAGAGGGUGAACGGCCACAAGGGGACUGAGACACGGCCCUUACUCCUACGGGAGGCAGCAGUGGGGAAUAUUGGACAAUGGGCCACAAGCCUGAUCCAGCAAUUCUGUGUGCACGAUGAAGGUCUUCGGAUUGUAAAGUGCUUUCAGUUGGGAAGAAGAAAGUGACGGUACCAACAGAAGAAGCGACGGCUAAAUACGUGCCAGCAGCCGCGGUAAUACGUAUGUCGCAAGCGUUAUCCGGAUUUAUUGNGCGUAAAGCGCGUCUAGGCGGAAAAAUAAGUCUGAUGUUAAAAUGCGGGGCUCAACUCCGUAUUGCGUUGGAAACUGUUUUUCUAGAGUACUGGAGAGGUGGGCGGAACUACAAGUGUAGAGGUGAAAUUCGUANAUAUUUGUAGGAAUGCCGAUGGAGAA